rnacentral:rRNA from 1 species
AGUCACUGACAUUAGAUACCCGUGUAGUCCUAGCCGUAAACGAUACUCGCUAGGUGUCGGCCACGGUGCGACCGUUGUCGGUGCCGUAGGGAAGCCGUGAAGCGAGCCACCUGGGAAGUACGGCCGCAAGGCUGAAACUUAAAGGAAUUGGCGGGGGAGCACAACAACGGGUGGAGCUUGCGGUUUAAUUGGAUUCAACGCCGGAAAUCUUACCGGGACCGACAGCAACAUGAAGGCCAGGCUGAAGACUUUGCCGGAUUAGCUG